rnacentral:tRNA from 1 species
GCCGGCAUAGCUCAAUUGGUAGAGCGCCUGCCUCCAAAGCAGGAUGUUCGCGGUUCGAGUCCGUGUGCCGGUG